CGAAAGCCUGACGGAGCAAUCUCGCGUGAGGGAUGACUGCCUAUGGGUUGUAAACCUCUUUUUUCAGGGAGGAAUAAAUGACGUGUACCUGAAGAAUAAGCAUCGGCUAACUCCGUGCCAGCAGCCGCGGUAAGACGGAGGAUGCAAGUGUUAUCCGGAAUCACUGGGCGUAAAGCGUCUGUAGGUGGUUUAAUAAGUCAACUGUUAAAUCUUGAAGCUCAACUUCAAAAUCGCAGUCGAAACUAUUAGACUAGAGUAUAGUAGGGGUAAAGGGAAUUUCCAGUGGAGCGGUGAAAUGCGUAGAGAUUGGAAAGAACACCGAUGGCGAAGGCA
rnacentral:rRNA from 1 species